rnacentral:rRNA from 1 species
UACGUAGGGGGCUAGCGUUGUCCGGAAUCAUUGGGCGUAAAGAGCGCGUAGGCGGCCAGAUAAGUCCGGUGUGAAAGUCACAGGCUCAACCUGUGAAUGCCGCUGGAAACUGUCUGGCUUGAGUCCGGGAGGGGCGAGUGGAAUUCCGUGGUGUAGCGGUGAAAUGCGCAGAUAUCAGGAGGAACACCGGUGGCGAAGGCGGGUCUCUGGGCCGAUACUGACGCUGGAGGAGCGAAAGCGUGGGGAGCGAACAGG